ensembl:ncRNA ZK20.8 ncRNA
GAGACACAGACGAGCAGUGUGCGACGAUUGCCGGGCACGUUUUGUGCGAGCGAUUCGAUGCGAGUGAAUGACAACGCGACGGGGGUCUUUUCUGUUGUGCGAGCGCGACCGUCAUGUUGCUUGUGAGUGUGGUUGUGAG